GGGAAGAUGGCUCAGUGGUAGAGCGCUUGCCUUGCAUGCAUGAGGACCUGGGUUCGAUUCCUCAGUACCA
rnacentral:tRNA from 1 species